CUCCUACGGGAGGCAGCAGUAAGGAAUAUUGGUCAAUGGCCGAGAGGUGAACCAGCCAAGUCGCGUGAGGGAUGAAGGUUCUAUGGAUCGUAAACCUCUUUUAUAAGGGAAUAAAGUGCGGGACGUGUCCCGUUUUGUAUGUACCUUAUGAAUAAGGAUCGGCUAACUCCGUGCCAGCAGCCGCGGUAAUACGGAGGAUCCGAGCGUUAUCCGGAUUUAUUGGGUUUAAAGGGUGCGUAGGCGGCCUUUUAAGUCAGCGGUGAAAGUCUGUGGCUCAACCAUAGAAUUGCCGUUGAAACUGGGGGGCUUGAGUAUGUUUGAGGCAGGCGGAAUGCGUGGUGUAGCGGUGAAAUGCAUAGAUAUCACGCAGAACCCCGAUUGCGAAGGCAGCCUGCCAAGCCAUUACUGACGCUGAUGCACGAAAGCGUGGGGAUCAAACAGGAUUAGAUACCCUGGUAGUCCACGCAGUAAACGAUGAUCACUAGCUGUUUGCGAUACAGUGUAAGCGGCACAGCGAAAGCGUUAAGUGAUCCACCUGGGGAGUACGCCGGCAACGGUGAAACUCAAAGGAAUUGACGGGGGCCCGCACAAGCGGAGGAACAUGUGGUUUAAUUCGAUGAUACGCGAGGAACCUUACCCGGGUUUGAACGCAUUCGGACCGAGGUGGAAACACCUUUUCUAGCAAUAGCCGUUUGCGAGGUGCUGCAUGGUUGUCGUCAGCUCGUGCCGUGAGGUGUCGGCUUAAGUGCCAUAACGAGCGCAACCCUUGCCACUAGUUACUAACAGGUGAUGCUGAGGACUCUGGUGGGACUGCCAGCGUAAGCUGCGAGGAAGGCGGGGAUGACGUCAAAUCAGCACGGCCCUUACAUCCGGGGCGACACACGUGUUACAAUGGCGUGGACAAAGGGAGGCCACCUGGCGACAGGGAGCGAAUCCCCAAACCACGUCUCAGUUCGGAUCGGAGUCUGCAACCCGACUCCGUGAAGCUGGAUUCGCUAGUAAUCGCGCAUCAGCCAUGGCGCGGUGAAUACGUUCCCGGGCCUUGUACACACCGC
rnacentral:rRNA from 1 species